rnacentral:rRNA from 1 species
UACGUAGGGUGCGAGCGUUUAAUCGGAAUUACUGGGCGUAAAGCGUGCGUAGGCGGUUCGUUAAGUGCGUCGUGAAAGCCCCGGGCUCAACCUGGGAAUGGCAUUGGAUACUGGCGAGCUAGAGUGCGGUAGAGGGUAGUGGAAUUCCCGGUGUAGCAGUGAAAUGCGUAGAGAUCGGGAGGAACAUCUGUGGCGAAGGCGACUACCUGGGCCAGCACUGACACUGAGGCACGAAAGCGUGGGGAGCAAACAGG